rnacentral:rRNA from 1 species
UACAGAGGGUGCAAGCGUUAAUCGGAAUUACUGGGCGUAAAGCGUGCGUAGACGGUUACGUAAGUCGGGUGUGAAAGCCCCGGGCUCAACCUGGGAAUUGCAUUCGAGACUGCGUAGCUAGGGUGCGGAAGAGGGAAGCGGAAUUCCCGGUGUAGCGGUGAAAUGCGCAGAUAUCGGGAGGAACACCAAUGGCGAAGGCAGCUCGCUGGGACGUUACUGACGCUGAGACGCGAAAGCGUGGGGAGCAAACAGG